UGCAAGUCGAGCGGAGAUGAGGUGCUUGCACCUUAUCUUAGCGGCGGACGGGUGAGUAAUGCUUAGGAAUCUGCCUAUUAGUGGGGGACAACAUUCCGAAAGGAAUGCUAAUACCGCAUACGUCCUACGGGAGAAAGCAGGGGAUCUUCGGACCUUGCGCUAAUAGAUGAGCCUAAGUCGGAUUAGCUAGUUGGUGGGGUAAAGGCCUACCAAGGCGACGAUCUGUAGCGGGUCUGAGAGGAUGAUCCGCCACACUGGGACUGAGACACGGCCCAGACUCCUACGGGAGGCAGCAGUGGGGAAUAUUGGACAAUGGGGGGAACCCUGAUCCAGCCAUGCCGCGUGUGUGAAGAAGGCCUUAUGGUUGUAAAGCACUUUAAGCGAGGAGGAGGCUACUGAGACUAAUACUCUUGGAUAGUGGACGUUACUCGCAGAAUAAGCACCGGCUAACUCUGUGCCAGCAGCCGCGGUAAUACAGAGGGUGCGAGCGUUAAUCGGAUUUACUGGGCGUAAAGCGUGCGUAGGCGGCUUUUUAAGUCGGAUGUGAAAUCCCCGAGCUUAACUUGGGAAUUGCAUACGAUACUGGGAAGCUAGAGUAUGGGAGAGGAUGGUAGAAUUCCAGGUGUAGCGGUGAAAUGCGUAGAGAUGUGGAGGAAUACCGAUGGCGAA
rnacentral:rRNA from 1 species